rnacentral:lncRNA from 1 species
GAAAGCCCCAAACUCUCCACUUCCUAAUCUCUGGUCUGCCACAAAUCCAGAGCAACCAGUAGAGGAAGGAAGGAAAGAGCAGCUGGCUGAGGGCCCGUCUUCCCCACAUCCCUGGGAGGCUGGGAUGGUAAGUGAUUUGCCAAUGAACAGCAGAGCUGGGAUUAGAACUCAGGACCCCGGGGCUGGCCCGGUGGCACAGCGGUUAAGUUUGCACGUUCUGCUUCUCGGUGGCCCCGGGUUUGCCGGUUCGGAUCCCAGGUGUGGACAUGGCACCACUUGGCAAAAGCCAUGCUGUGCUAGGUGUCCCACAUAUAAAGUGGAGGAAGAUGGGCAUGGAUGUUAGCUCAGGGCCAGCCUUCCUUAGCAAAAAGAGGAGGAAUGGGAGAUGUUAGCUCAGGGCUAAUCUUGCUCAGGAAAAAAAAAAAGAACUCAGGACCCCUGAUUCCCAGAGCCCAAGUCUGGUUCUUGGCCUGCCCGUCAGGAAGGGCCCCUGAUGGACCUGGUGACCAGAGGGACAGUCCAGUUCUGCUGGCUCAGGAGCAAGUACAAAGGCUGCGGAUCCAGGCCCCAGAGGUCUAGGAUGGGUGAGGAGUGGGCAUGGGAGGACCGUCUCAGCUUUCCUGCAUAACGGGGAGGAGAUGGGGGAGGACGCACCGGGCUAAAAGCUGGGAGGGGCUAGAGUCACCCCUGCGGGCCCACUAGUCUGGGAGUUUGGGCUCUGAGAUGGCGCUGCCUCCACCCCGGCUCCUCCUCCAGUGUGGCCUGACUUGGCGGGUCCAUGUCCCUCCCAUGGACAGUGGCACGGGCUCAGCCUCCAGAGCCCACAGGCCUGAGCCAGGCUAAAUAAGGGGAGACUGUCCCCCACCCUGGCUCCUGAGCCCUGGGCGGGGCUUGAGGCCACUCAGGCCUGGUCACCGUCUGGGCCUGCUGGAGCAACAGCCUCGGCAAACGCUUUUCCAGAUGUGCCCUGUUCCUGACGUGCCCGGCGAGACCUGAAUUCCAGUCAGAGCUGGCUGCUCACAGGACAGUCUGGGCUUUGUCGCCUUCGGGAUCCAGCGGGAGAAUCUCAGGCUUUGUCCGGAGGGUGGGAGGAAGGGUGAGCAGGGCCCGCCCUGGUCUCCAUCCACCGGUGACCCCUCCCUCUGUGGUCCUGUCUGGGGAUUCUAUUCAUGUGAAGCCAACAUUCCUGGAGCCCACAGGGCCAGCAAGAUCAUCUCACACAAGCGGAUCGCUGUCUCGCCUAAUGAGAAAAUGAUGACAUGGCCCCCUGCCCUGGGCCCCCGGGCCCAGCCAGGCCCUGGCUCCCCAGCCCCCUGUGCCGCCGGCAGCCUCACAAGCGUGCACACACCUCCUGCUUUGUGCCAUUGUUCUACAGAGCCGGAAGCCCUCGGAGGGGCCAUUUUUAGAGCCAACUGGGAAAGAGGGACCUGCCAGGCCUGCAUCAGCUGCCUGCCUGCGUCUCCCACUCAUCCUCACCCCGCCAGUCAGAGGACAGCAAUGCUGCCACCUUUCCCAGUGCUGCCCUUUGGGGGCCUCAGACCAAGUGUGUCCCAUGUGUCCACCCCCCGCCAGUGACAGCUCUUUGGAGCAGAUGCGUGGACAGAAGGACCCAUAUUCCAAGGGCUGCCAAUUCUCAGUCAAGUCAUCCCCGGGUAUCUCGGGCCCUCUGUGCUCCUGCUUCAUCCUGGUGGCAGUGGACCCAAGCUGCGCACAGUCACAUCAGGGCAACCCCAUUACCCCAGGAGUGGCCAGAAGCAGUCGCUGCCGAGAGCCCAGCACCGGAGGAGGACGCCUAUGGUCCGCGAGGGAGCAGACAGUUGGCCCAACGAGGCCCCCCUGUCCCGGGGCGCAUGCUCACCACCCGCCUCAUCCCUACAGAUGAUGACACAAGAGGGCUCCCACACCCCUCAGUGGCCUGACCCUGCCAGAGAGAAGAACUGAGCGCCAAAACUGCAGCCAGGGUCGGUUUGCAGGGCUGGGGUCAGGCCUGGGCAGGGCUGCCACAGAGGUCAGUUUUCCUGUAGAGAAAUCAGGGCAGGAAGGGGAAUCUUCCCAGGCCCUGUCUCGCGCACUUCCGACAUCUGUUCCAAAAGCAUCUGAGGAUGUCUUCAGCGCUUCUCAGACUCUAACAUGAACGUGAAUCCUCUGGGGAGCCUGUUAGAAUGCAGAUUCUUGGGGCCAGCCUUGUGGCACAAGCUCACUUCCACAGCUCGAGUUCCUGGGUUCCAAUCCCAGGCACAGACCUACACACCACUCAUCAAGUCACGCUGUGGCGGCGACACACAUACAGUGGAGGAAGAUUGGCACAGACGAUUGCUCUCAGGGCCAAUCUUCUUCAAGUGAAAAAAGAGGAAGAUUGGCAACAGGUGUUAGCUGAGAGCUAAU